rnacentral:rRNA from 1 species
GACGAACGCUGGCGGCGUGCCUAAUACAUGCAAGUCGAGCGCAGGAAACUGACGGAACUCUUCGGAGGGAAGGCAGUGGAAUGAGCGGCGGACGGGUGAGUAACACGUAAGGAACCUGCCUCAAGGAUUGGGAUAACUCCGAGAAAUCGGAGCUAAUACCGGAUAGUUCAACGGACCGCAUGGUCCGCUGAUGAAAGGCGCUUCGGCGUCACCUUGAGAUGGCCUUGCGGUGCAUUAGCUAGUGGGUGGGGUAACGGCCCACCAAGGCGACGAUGCGUAGCGGACCUGAGAGGGUGAUCGGCCACACUGGGACUGAGACACGGGCCAGACUCCUACGGGAGGCAGCAGUAGGGAAUCUUCCACAAUGGACGAAAGUCUGAUGGAGCAACGCCGCGUGAGUGAUGAAGGUGUUCGGAUCGUAAAACUCUGUUGUAAGGGAAGAACACGUACGAGAGGAAAUGCUCGUACCUUGACGGUACCUUACGAGAAAGCCACGGCUAACUACGUGCCAGCAGCCGCAGUAAUAC